AGCGAUGGCCAUGGGAAGUAACAACUCAGGCCCAUCAGGGCUUCCUCACUAUGCGGGUGUUAGAAGUAGAGACAGAGGUCCAGGUCUAGUGGCACAAACAGCGACGGACCCCAUGGAAAUGCGGGCGUGGCCCCUCCAUCCCAACAGCCUGCAUGGCUGCUCCAUUCUGCUCCCAUCACACACAUCCCCACACAGCCAAGCCCCUUCUCCUUUCCCCCACUGGAUUCAUCAAAUCAAACCUCGCUGUCCUUGGAAAAUGUACCAUUAAUUUACUUACUGCCCAGUAAAAAAGCACACUUCCAGUUAACAUGACACCCCCGCUACGAUAGAACAGCCUUAAUUCAAACAUGACGCAGAGGAACAGAGGGAGGAGGGGUCGAGGACCAUCCUGGAAUCGGCAGCUGUUUUCUGGGGGAAAGCCUCCGUCCCCCCUGAGCCCGACACUUGUGCCACACUAUCCCCAUGGUGUCUGAAAGCUCCAUGAAGACAGGCUCACUCUGACCCCUUCACACCCACAACGCCAAAGAGGAGCAGGUGUUCAGGAAAAGUCUCCUGCUAGUGCUGAAGACAGGAAUGAUUCCUCGUGGUGCCCAGAAUGUCAGGAGAAAAGGCACCAUGUGGACACCUUCCAGGUGAAUUCUGGAAUGACUCUGCCGAAUGCCAGUCAUCCUUUUUCAGAACAAAACCAAUACCGGAAAACAUGUGUCGCCAGCAGAGAGAUGGUCCUUUUGACGGCUUACAAACACACCUAUGUUACGCUGAAUUUAUCUCAAGCCACCCUCUCUGUGCUAAUGUAAAAAGUCUCCUUUAUUAACCAGUAGCCUUUUUCAUCUGGUGCUUUUUAACAAGCAAGACGGUCCUGUAACACUCAGGCAUUGUUGAAAACGUCAAAUGGAAGCCUAGAAUCCUCUUCCGUGCAGCUUCACUGCAAAGUAUUUUGACGUGAGCCAAAUCGUGCUAUUCCUACAUCUCCACGGGAAACUCAAGGCUUCAUCAAGGAAACGCAGCAUCAUUUCUGCUAGUUACAGAAAUUGGUGGGGGGGGAUGGGGUUGAGGGAACAUUACAUAGAAGGCAACCCCGAUAAUCACCUGCAUGAGAGCCACACUGGCCGGCAAGCCCCGGUCUGCUCAGUCUCUGCACAAUCACAGACUUGAGACCUGGAGGGCAGACACCUGGCACUGCUGACCACCCCAAGGUCAUGGCCUCUGCCCCUUCUCUGCUGCCCAUCAGUUCCAAGCUUCUGGCAACACCGCCUGCUGCCCCCACUGCCUCAUCGACUCUUCGUGAAAAGCAAAUGUUGCCAGGAUAGCUUAUGAGUACAUUUGCCAGGAAAGCAGCUCCGAUUGACGCUGAAACCCCCUUCUCACACCCCUGGCAGCUCCCUUGCCCCCGAUGUGCACAUGCUUGCAGCUCUGACCUUGCUCAGUGUCCACACAGGCUCUGUCCCCUGGAGAGCCAAAGGCAGACUCAAUGUUGAGUCAGAAAUACACAAAGCGGGUGAAGAUUACGAACUGCCUGCCCCCCAAAACACAGGUUGAAAUCCUCACCCUCAAUGUGAUGCUGUCAGGAGGUCUUUGGGAGGUGAUGAGUUCCCGAGGCUGGAGACCCUUGAAUGGGAUUUGUGCCUCAGAAAGGGGCCCAGCAAAUCCCUCACCCUCCCAUUGUGUCAGGGCCAGAGAGAAGGUGUGUGCCAACCAGGAAGGAGCCCACACCAGAAUCCACCCGUGCGGCACCCUGAUCCUGCCUUCCAGCCGCUAGAACUGUGAGAAACAAAUUCCUGUUGUUCAUAAGCCACUCAGUCAAUGAUGUUUCGUUACAGCAGCCUGAGCUGCCUGAGAUGACGAUGCUCACUGCCCUACAGAAACGGCUACUCCCCUCUCCCAGAAAGAGGGGUUUAAUUAAAAUCCCUGUCUCUCCUCGCGGCCACCACAGAUCUCACUCCCCCACCCCAAAAGCCAGCAGUUGCUAGGAUUAAAGGAAACAGAGGAUUGUUUUAGACCAGCCCCUCCAUAUCGAUCUGAAGCCUAUAACUUUGCCCACUUCCACGGUGGCCGUGUCACUGCAGUGCCCAUGUCAGCUCUGUGUCUGCACUGGGUCCCAGGCUGUGCACAGACUCUUCUAGCUGCCCAUCCAGCACAGCCAUUUCCCCUUCUGCUUUGGAGGCUGUCCUUCGAUAUCGAACUCCCACCUUUCUGCAACCCAAGGCCUUCUGAUCCAGACAUUCGGGGUGAGCUCAGCCAUGUACUGGAGUCCUUGACUCAGGUAACCCAGGCCCAAGGCGUUGGCACCAACGAUCUACUGGCUGUGGGGUCUGCACAGCCACUAGCUGUCCCAGCCACUCCAGGGCCUGGGAGGGGAGGCAGAGGAACCUGUGAAGCUGCCAACAGCCAUACGGGGACAGGGGCCCCUGGGAUGAGGAGGAUGCCAUGGAAGGAAAUUCAGAGAAAGAAAGAGCCCCAAGGCUGGACGGGUCAUGCCCAAAGCCUACACUGCUGAAUUUUCCAGGUUUCUGAACUCAAUCGCUGACCCACACAGCACAUGUUUCCUGAGUGCUGACCCCGCGUGCCAUUGGAUACGGCAAUAAAGUAGGACCCCCACCCACCCCUUCCCCGACACAUACACAGGCCUGGGCACCCAGUUGGCACCGUGAGCCAGGGAAGGGGGCCAUUUCAGACGGACAGUGGGUGCAGCCUUGCCAAAGCCCAGCAGUCACCUGCACUGCCACAGCCAGGCUGAGUCCAGAUCAGCCGCACAGAAACCUGACCCUCUCAAGGGCAUGCCUGAGCUCAUUAGGGACAGACACCGUCUCCUGCUGAUCUCCAACACUUUCUCUGCAUGUCUAGUUACAAACGGACGACGCAGUCUCGGAAGCACAGCUGUGACUCUGGAGACAGAUCCCAGGCCUCCCCCUGCUCCUCUCCGUGGUGCCAUUGAUGGGGAGGGGCCGGUAUGGCCGCAUACCCACAGCCACCAUGCCACGGAGACACGGGCCUUCGACGGUUACUUCUGCCAAGGAACCCUGCUGCGUCUUGGAGCACACCAUGGUGGGCGGGAAGCUCCACCCGGAGAAACAGCGAUGCUUCUCCCCAGAGCCAACGGAGGGCACUCCCCGCCCUGCAUGCAGCAGAUUACUUACAUUCUGGAAAACAUCUGAGUUAGUGGGGAACAGUAAAAUGAAAAGGUCACGCUAGAAAGUUUAGAAGGUUGUGUGGAGUCUCAGGAGGUCUAAAGAUUUCUGAACCAAGACUGCUGUGGGCAACGAGCUUACAGGGAAAGUUUCCACACGGGCCUUCAACAAGCAACGCUCAGCAGGGAGGAGCCACGUUCUGGGCAGAACCUCAGAACAAGAACAUCGGACACCACAAAGUCACAACAGAGCCAACAGCAACUGAAAUACAGCGCUCUCCUAAGAUGUGUGCGUCACCUGCAGAAAGUCACCACACAUUAAGAUGGGGGAAGAAAAGGAUAAGGUUAGAAACAAAUUUGAAAUUAUUUCUGCAUACAUAAAAUUUCUACAUCCACUGGCUUUCUUUCUGGGAGUAACAACUUUUACAUGAGAUGCACAUCCCCGUUGGAAGGAGUUUGGGUUUUCCGUGGGCAGAGUCAAGGGCUCUCCAAGAAAUGUGAACCUUUUCUCACUCACUGAGCCGCGUGCCCUGAGGCCGUCCUGGCCUGUCUGAGCACCUCCCUGGCUCUGCCUCCAGCCAGCUCCUUCCAGCACUCACCCCGCUGCUCCCAGAGCCUGCACUGGCCCAGGAUCUCCUCUUCUGCUGCUGUCAAUCUUCCACUUUAGGGUAAAUAAGUUGGAAACUAGAAAGUUAUAAGACCCCUUAGCUUUUUAAAAAUUUGUCUUCUCAGAAAACAAAGAAUACUAAUUCUACUUCCACGGUUUAACAUGUUGCCCCCAUCUGCAUGUUCAUGGAUAUGUGUUUUUAUAUAUAUUUUAAUCAGUACUUAUAAAAGCAUGCACUGUUGGCUACGUUCAGUUCAAUUACAUUUGAUGUAAGAAGUUUUAGUUUCAGUGAAUUCAGGCACUCAAAAUUUAAGCCCUCUGACAUCUAUUAAUCAAAUGGAAAAAUGACAGGUAGAUAUCACAAAAAUCAAGAGAAGUGUUUAAUAUAAAUCCUGGACUUUUAGAUAUUUCCACAAAUGUAAUGUAUACAUUAGUACACGACCUUGAGCAUUUUCACAACUCUUUGAACUAAAAUUCUGCUCUUAACUUUUAUUGGUAGAUCGACAUCCAUAUGUGAUUAUAAGCAGCUCAAACAUCAGCUCUUAGAAACAACCAGAAAUGCUGUGGGCAAAUCCCACCGAGCAGCAAAUAACGGAACUGCACCCAACAACCCAGGUACCUCCCCUGAGGCAUCUGGAACUUGAGGAUUACGAGCAGCCUUUGGUUUCUGAGGCACCCGAGAGUGGGGACUCCAACUCCCCAAGUCUAGGAAGGCCUCAGCGAUAAGGAAAACUGAUCAAAAAGUCAUCCCUGCCGGCCCCCUGCCAUGGGUUCCCCCCUGCCGGCCCUCAGCCACGUGCUUACAGAUCUCACUUCCUCUCUGUCCCGCAAAGCCUGACUCCUGAUUCCAGCCCUGCUGCUUACUGGGAUGUGGCCAUGGACGUCAACUGCACCUGCAAGGGGAGAAGCCUGUCAGGAUACAGGAUCCUGGCCAUCCUGGCAGCGCUCAAGCUGAUACUGUAACUUGGUAGCGAGUUACUUAAUGCAAAGGUUUAACUUUGAAAAAUUUAGAUGUGUGUAUUCUAACGGAAAUUCUGAAUGUAGAACACAGGCCACACCCUCACACAGAUGUUGUCUGGCCAGCACUCUUUUGUCUUUUCAAUAGACAUUUUUAAAAGCAGUUUUUGGUUCAUAGCAAAAUCAAGAGGAAAGUACAGAGAGUCCUCACCUAUCUCCUUUCCCAGCACAGGCACAGCCUCCAUCAUUCUCCUGCCCUCACCAGACCAGCAUGUCUCUACGACCGACAGACCCGCAUCAACACGGCACCACCACCCACAGUCCACAGCUCACACGAGGACUCGGCCUGCUGCUGCUCACUCUGUGGGUUUCACAGACGUGGAACGGCAUGCAUCCCCCAUGAAAGCCCCACCUGGAGUUGUUUCCCACCUUCCAUAUCCCCUAUGCUCCUCCCAUUCAUCUCUCCCUUCCCCAGCCCCUGGCAGCCACUGACUGUUUGACUGUCUCCACAGCUUUGCCUUUUCCAGACUGUGCUGUGGUUGGACUCAGACAGCAGGCAGCCUUUCCAGAUUGGAGUCUCACUUAGCAACAUGCAUUUAAGAUCCUUCCUUGUCUUCAUGGCUUAGGGGUCCAGUUCUUUUUAGUGCUGAAUAAUAUCCCAGUAUCUGACAUACCACAGUUUAUCCAUUCACCUGCUGAAGGGCAUCUUGGUUGCUUUCUAGUUUUGGCAAUUAUAAAGCUGCUGUCAACGUCUGUGUGCACAUUUCCGCAUGGAAGUAAACUUUCAGCUCCUCCGAGUAAACGUCCAGGACUGUGAUUGCUCCUGUGGUCGGAGAGCUUAGUUCCACGGAAAACCGCCACGCUGCCUCCUACAGCAGCUGCCCCACUUCCCCCAGUGAUGAGUGAGGGUCCUGAUGCCCACACACCCACCAGCACGCGGCAGUGUCGGAGUUCGGGUUUUGGCCAGGCCGAUGGGUGCACAGUGACGCCUCACCCUAUGACAUAAGACGCGGGUCAUGUUUCCACGUGUAGAUUUGCCAUCUGUGUAUCUUCUUUGUUGGGGUAUCUGUCCAGGUCUUUGGUCCAUUUUUAAUCAGGUUGUUCAUUUUCUUGUUGAGUUUUGAGAGUUCCUUGCACGGUUUGGAUAACAGCCUUUCUCAGAUGAGUCUUUUACAGAUGCGUUCUCCCCGUCUGUGGCCUGCCCUCUCAUGCUCCUGAGACACUAUGUUUUAUAUUUUGAAAAACACUUUAGACAGAAGAUGGACCUCCCAGCCCACCACGGUUCUCAGUUUGGCCGUGGUCACCACCCUCCCAGCCCUGGUUCCCACCUUUCCACGAUCUGCUGGUCCUAUGGGUGUCAACCCAUACUAAGUCCCUAACAUAUCUCCAAUGAUGGCAACGUCAAAGCCGGCAGUUUGCAGGUAGAAAGGAGCUGAUGGAGGCCGGAGCAGAGUGUGAAGGCCAGCGGAUUCAUCCCUCGGGGACCGGCAGGCCUCAUCAGAUAUCCCCCUGGGUCACCUCCCAAAUGAAGUACCUGCUUUGGCCGUGGGCAGGAAGCAGGACCUGGCCCAGAUCUCAGCAUAUUUGACCUGGCACGGCAUUUACAGGUUUGCAAGACAGAAAAACUCCUUGGUUCCUCAAGCUACAAUACUGCAGAGUCUCAGGUCACAGCAUCCUUACCUACCCUCGUCAGGAACCGUUCAUGCUCAUCAAGACAUGAGAACAAAACUGCAGUGGCACAGUCACACUCAAUGCAGACCACCUGCUGCUCACAUUCAUCGUAUUAACACCAAAAAGCCACCGUGGUGGAUAUAUCCUGGAUGUGGACACUCGGCGGCUUUUUGCUGGAGAUGUGCUUUGUGCAUUUAUCGCACAACCAUCUUGGCGUCAGGAGGGGCUGUGCAGAUGGCAGCUGUGCACGUCACAGGGAGUCUCAACUCGCUGGACUCUCAGCCAGCUCCCACUAUCAGUGCCCGCAGAGUCCUCUCCUCCGGGAGCACGUGCUUGGACGCCACAGUGGCCUGUGGAUCCACACAACAGCACUGUGUGCCCCAGGAGCUUAGAAAGUACCACUGCAUCAAUGCCUCCACAGGUGAGGCCGGGGGCAGAAGCCAACCUCAAGCAGUUACGGUCCUCCGUGGGGCUGGCGUCCAGGCAGGAAGGCGGCUCAGCGGCUCUCCUCUCACUGUGGAACUUCCUAGGUCCCCACAUGAACAGAACCUAAAUAACACGCAACGAACAACAGGAACGAGAACACGACCAACAGCUUCUGAGAUGAGCAAGCUGGGCUGAUCAUGAGACACCUGACGGGGACGGUGCCAGAGCCCCUCCCAGUGACCUGUGUGGACAGCGCUGCCAGCAUCUCCCUAAAACCAGCCCAAGUCAAGUUAGACUUGAGGCUUUCCAGGAGUGGGUAGAUCCCUUCAAUCCCACAGUCUGAACCUUCCAGGCCGUGUCUCAUGGCCCUCAUCUCACAUAUGGGAACCCGGACGCUGCACCAUAGACGUGGCCCCAAGCCCUCGUUCCUUCUUCAACACCACACACCAGUACAGUGAACACUUAGGAUCUGGGCAUUCACAUAAAAUACUGCUUAACUAAAACUUCUGAUUUAGAACAUGUUUAAUUCCUACUCACAGAGCUCAAAGUGUUCUGUCCUAGGAGGCGGUAGCUGUAACUAAGCAUGAGAGAAGAAGGGAUCAGAGUGGUGCCAAGUAUUAAAUAUUCCUCUAAAUCUAUUCACCAGGUUGCCAUGCUAUUGUCACCUGCUUCAUUUUCUGUCCUUAAAAGACAAAAUAGUUACUUUUCAAAAUAGACAACCUGUUUUACUGAUGCUUAGCUAUAAAGUAGCGAGCUACGUAUCCAAAAGGGAGAUAUGGGAAAACAGAAAAUGUCCACAAGCGAUCGGGGUUGGGGGGCAGUUGCAGCAGCACCUGGCUCUGUUGCGUUGUGAGCCAGCCACGUGGGCUGGACAGCUCACUUAGCCACUGAAAUUACAUCAUCUAAGAUUUUGUUUCAGUUACUUUGAUAAAUUCUCCCUCUUGCUAUGAAGAGUAAGGUUUGUUUUUUUUGUUUUUUUUUUUUUUUUUUGACUUGGAGUCUCGCUAUGUCACCCAGUCCAGAGUGCAGUAUUACAAUCACGGCUCAUCGCGGCCUUGACCUUCUGCCUCAAGCAAUCCUCCCGCCUCAACCUUCCAAGUAGUUGGGACCCAAAGGCGAGUUUGAUUUCUUUGCUAACGAAUUCCUAAUUCACCUCGCAGUGGGCCUGUCAAGGCCAUAUGCCCGGACAUCCACCUUGCCGACCGUCCAUGUGGUCUCUAAGGUGGAUGCACUCCGGUUGCCUGGGCUCUGCACGCGAUACUGAGUCUCCAAGUCUGCCGCUGUAUAAGGGACUGACAGCCCCAAGCGUCUCGACGCGCCACCUUGAGCCGGGCUUUAUUCCACAGGGCGACUCUGCUUCCCGUGAUGAGAUGCAGCACGUGAGCACAGAUCAAAGGGUAUCAGCAACUAACCCAUUCCCCUGGUACUAAGCAGAGGACCAAGAGUUUAGUUCCUUACUUAUUUGCUACGGGCUUGAUUCAAAACAGCUUUCUGGAAUCCUGGGGACAGACACCUCUAACUGGUGAGAAUUCUGGCUUUAGUAACGGAAGGAUCACCUAAAGCCCAUUUUGUAACUGCUGUUCUCAUCAGAAUUUGAGGCCAAAGGGAAAAAUAAAAGGGGGGCUAAGAUCGUGACACCCCAGUUUGCACAAGGCCAACCAGCCUGCUUGAGGGGGUAAAAGGAAUAGGAUUUUUAAACUGCUGAGUUUUAAAAACGUGGCUGUAGGCUGGGCGCACUGGCUCACGUCUAUAAGCCCAGCACUUUGGGAGGCCGAGGUGGGAGGAUUGCUUGAGGCCAGGAGUUCAAGACUGGCUUGAGUAACACAGCAAUACCCUAUCUCUUUAAAAAGAAAAAAAAAAGUUAUUAAAAUAGUAAUAAAAAGGUUAAUACAAUAAAUUACUAUGUCAACAUGGCACCCCCUGCUGUCAGACGAGGUGCAAUCUCUGUGGCUGUGAGGUCCGGAGAGAAAUGUAACCGGCAUCAUAGGGAAGGUGGACCCCAAAGCCCCACAACAUUACUCCUGUACAGUGUGUUAACCAGCAUGAAGUCUCCUCCACAAUCAGAAGCCUGGUGUAGAGGAACGCUGCCCACUGGACCUGGGUGGACUCCAGAUGCCGGUCGACCAGACAGCCCCACCCUGGGACCCUGCCGGCAGCCCCGACUGGACAGAAUGGCCUCAUGAGUGUCCUUUCCUGCCACAGGCUGCAGACCCUGAGCCAGUCCUGGCUGUGACUGAGGCUGCGCAUAAACGUCUGCGCCCAACAGCUCACCUUUGUACAUGACACGCCCAGUCCACCUCAUUUCAAAUGUUACACUUGCCCCAAGGCGAACAUGGAUGUUACAGGUUAACUCACUGCAUGUGUGCUAGACUUUCCCUGUAAGUGUUCAGACAUUGUACGAACCGGAUGAACAAACCCCACUUUCCCUGUAAACGUUCAGACAUUCCUUGAGCCCGAUGAACACACACAGCCAACAAACCCCGGAACGUGUAAUGCCGCGGCCUCCUCCCCUCCUGAGGGGCGUGUGCUUACAGCUCCCCCAAGACCACAUUUCCCAAAGCACAGAGUGUUACUCUGAAAAUAAAACCUCCUUUUUCCUUCCUCUGUA